rnacentral:rRNA from 1 species
CCUACGGGUGGCAGCAGUGAGGAAUAUUGGUCAAUGGGCGGAAGCCUGAACCAGCCAAGUCGCGUGAGGGAGUAAGGCCCUACGGGUCGUAAACCUCUUUUGCCGGGGAGCAGUGCCCAGCUCGUGAGCUGGGAGGGAGCGUACCCGGAGAAAAAGCAUCGGCUAACUCCGUGCCAGCAGCCGCGGUAAUACGGAGGAUGCGAGCGUUAUCCGGAUUUGUUGGGUUUAAAGGGUGCGCAGGCGGCCUGUUAAGUCAGCGGGAAAAGCCCGGGGCUCAACCCCGGCGAGCCGUUGAAACUGGCGGGCUGGAGUUGGAGAGAAGUACGCGGAAUGCGCGGUGUAGCGGUGAAAUGCUUAGAUAUCGCGCAGAACCCCGAUUGCGAAGGCAGCGUACCGGCUCCACACUGACGCUGAGGCACGAAAGCGUGGGUAUCGAACAGGAUUAGAUACCCUUGUAGUC